rnacentral:lncRNA from 10 species
CGGCGAACCGCGCAAUGCGCUUCUUCUGCCUGCAGCAGAGAAAAGGAAAGAAAACUCCGCAGGGGCUCCGUUGGCUUCUCCACGAGUGACAACCAUGUUUUCCCAGAUAGAAGACCGGAGCCCUGCUCCUUUGCGAUCCGCCGAGGGCUGCAGAGAGCAUCCUCAUCCAUUUGGGCACCCCUGCCCAGGAAGAGCCCGGCCAUCCCUUUCCGGACUGGAUCCUUAAGAGGUGAAUUUUCUUCCGUGGAUUCCGAUUUGCUCCGUCUGACCAGCCUAGGCAAUCCAGCAUCGCGUGGUACCAGUGCCGCUGGGCACACUGGCUUCACGCCGGCUCCGCCUCACCAGCAAGCGCAUUCCCAGAUAAAACACUAACUCAGAGAAGAAAUUUAACUGCAAAUUUGGUUAAUGACCAUGGAUUCCUAAUGAGAAGAAAAGCUAGACACUGAGAGUUUAGAAUAAACUCAAGAAUCUUAAAAAUUUUCCCAUGGAACUGCCUUUGCACCUCUAUAAAAAAUUAAUUGACCAUAUGGUAAGUAACAUGUGAGUUUACAUUGAGGAUAGAUGAGCCUUUGGACAAAAUUAGAGUGAUUUAAUUUUACAAUAAAAACAACUCUAUGUCUUUUUCUUGGUUCUGUCAUCAUGUAAAAAAUAAUGCUUGCAAAAUUUUUUAUUAACACAACACUUGGGCUUAAUUUCCAAUAAUUUCUAUUUUUAAAAUGUCUUCCAUUAGUGUCUUGGAUCUUGGAAGAUAUAAUUCUGUCUGGAAAAUUUUUAAGACAAGAUAAAAAAUAUAUAUAUAUACACACACACAUACAUACAUAUAUAUGUGUAUAUAUAAAUAAUUUAAAUGAAAUUGUCUUGACACAUGUUUUUCAAAGAGUAUAAUCUUGUGAACUUUUCUAAUACUACAAAUCACAGGAUUUAAUCUUCUGACUUAAAUUGUACUUUCCAGAUAUUUAGUCACUCUAAGAUGUUAAACUAAUGUUAAAUUGUUUUAUUUAAUGAAUAAUCUUUGGAUAUAUAAUUUUUCUAUAAGAAAAAACAGAAAACUUUGAUUAUUAGAUAUAAUUUUAAAUUUCUUUUACCUUUAUACAUAAAAUCACUACAGAUUAAGGAGAUGUACAAAUGUCCUUAAAUUAUAUUAAAUGCACUUACUUUGCCAUCUUAAAAUUUAUUUAAGUAAAAUAACAUAUAUGCUCAUAAAAAUAGUUUUAUUGAUCUUGGUUACCUAUCUUCUAGUUUUCUCUUGUGUCUGGAAAAAUAAAAGUUGGUUAAUUUUGUUAAAGGUGGUAAUUAAUAAAAUCGACUAUGCAGACAUUUAUACAUUUACUUAUACAUAAAAAUAUAUUUAUGUACUUUAAUCUCUAUAUUACUCUUCUAAUUCAAUUUUUAAAGUAAAGUUCCAUUUUUCUGUAUGGUUCUAUGAGUGUAACACAUGCACAGAUUCUUGUAAGCUUCAUCACAAAUAGGUUAUAGAACAAUUCCACACCUUCCCCAAAAUGUCUCUUUUCCUGCUCAGUAGAUAGUCAAACUCUCCCCUCAGGCCUAAGCCUUGCAACCACUGAUCUUCUUUCCCUCUAUUUUUGCCGUUUUUAGAAUGUCAUACAUAUUUAGCCUUUUAAGAUUUACUUCUUUAACUUAGUAAAUGCAUUUGAGAUUCAAUCAUGUUGUUGCAUGUACCAAUAAUUUAUU